rnacentral:rRNA from 1 species
UAAGAUUUAUAAAAUUUAUUAAAAAUUUAUUUUACAUAUAAAUUAUUGUAUUAAUUAAUAAUUAUUUUAAUAAUAAUUUAUUAUAUAUUUAUUAGUAAUUAAUAUUAAAUUAUAUAAGAAAUUAUUAUUUAGUAAUAUAAGAAUUAUUAACAAAUUUUGUGCCAGCAGUUGCGGUUAUACAAAAAAUAAAAUAAAUUUUAUUAGUAAUUAAUAAAUAAUUAAUUUUUAAAUUAAAUAUUAAAUUUUUAAGUGAAAUUUUAAUUUAAUUAAAAUUUAAAUAAAAUUAUAAUUUAAUAAAUUCAAAUUUUUUUAAACUAGGAUUAGAUACCCUAUUAUUAUGAAAUUAAAUUUUAAUACUAAAAUAUUAUAUAAUUAUUUAUAAAAACUUAAUUAAAUUGGCGGUAUUUUAUUUAAUUUAGAGGAAUCUGUUAAAUAAUUGAUAAUCCACGAUUAAAUUUACUUAAUUUAUAAGUUUAUAUAUCGUUGUUAAAAAAAUAUUUUUAAAAAAAAAUAAUAUUUAAAAAUUUUAAAAAUAAAUUAAAUCAAAUCAAGAUGUAUCUCAUAAUUAAGAAUUAAUGGAUUAUAAUAAAUUUAUUUAAAUGAAUUUAAAAUUUAAAUAUUUUAAUGAAGGUAGAUUUAAAUGUAAUUUUAUUUAAUUUAAUAAAAUGAUUUUAAAUUAAAAUAUGUACAUAUUGCCCGUCACUUUCAUAAAUAAAUUGAAAUAAGUCGUAACAAAGUAGAGGUAUUGGAAAAUGUUUCUAGAAAGAA